AAAAAUGUUGGCAACAGGAGUUUUGUGGUUUCGCUGUGUGGUACCUGUGUUCUCCCCCAACAUUUUUCAUUUCGCAAAUUUCGUACGAGACUGAAGAAGCAGUUCGUAAAGACAUUGAACCCUAGGUAUUGUUGUCGAAGCAUUGUCAUUUUACCUUUGUGUCUGUGACCAACGUCUCACCACUGCAUCUUCAAACUAAUCUCUUUCAUCUCUCUAUUGUGUGUCGUCUGAUGUUGUGUGGCGUUCAGUGACGGAGUUCGUCAAAGACGGUGAAGAAGUUUGUUGUUGUUAUUGGUUAAGGUGACGCUCACUGGGUCCUGGUAAGUAGUCUCUCUGUUCGUUUAAUUGUUAGGAGUCCCUAGCCCGACAUUGCAAGAACUCGUGAAUCCUAAUCCCUCUUUUGUUUCUUUCAUUGGCACAUAAUGCUUUAUGGUUCGGUUCGGAAGUUCGAUUGAUGCGAUUGUAUUGAUGUUUGAGAAGAUUCGAAAUGGUCUAAGCUUGAGUUUCCUGAUGUUUGUGGACUUGGCUGAUGCAAUUGAAAGGGGAGAAGAGCAUAUCAAAGCGUUACAUGCGAGGUAUGGGUGUGGAUAAAUCUCCCAGCAAAUGCUCCAGAGUUGGUGUCCAAGGCAUUGCUUGGUCAUUUGGUGGAAUGAUCUUUGUCCAGUCUAAUACUGCAAUGCUGGUAUCUCAGGUUAGAAAUGCAAGCAAACUCAGUAGUUAAUACUAUAUUAUAUGAGUAUAUGAGCUUGAUUUUCAGUAAAUUGGU